AUCGAACGCUGGCGGCAGGCUUAACACAUGCAAGUCGAGCGGAGAUGAGGUGCUUGCACCUUAUCUUAGCGGCGGACGGGUGAGUAAUGCUUAGGAAUCUGCCUAUUAGUGGGGGACAACAUUCCGAAAGGAAUGCUAAUACCGCAUACGCCCUACGGGGGAAAGCAGGGGAUCUUCGGACCUUGCGCUAAUAGAUGAGCCUAAGUCGGAUUAGCUAGUUGGUGGGGUAAAGGCCUACCAAGGCGACGAUCUGUAGCGGGUCUGAGAGGAUGAUCCGCCACACUGGGACUGAGACACGGCCCAGACUCCUACGGGAGGCAGCAGUGGGGAAUAUUGGACAGUGGGCGGAAGCCUGAUCCAGCCAUGCCGCGUGUGUGAAGAAGGCCUUUUGGUUGUAAAGCACUUUAAGCGAGGAGGAGGCUACCUGGAUUAAUACUCUAGGAUAGUGGACGUUACUCGCAGAAUAAGCACCGGCUAACUCUGUGCCAGCAGCCGCUGUAAGAC
rnacentral:rRNA from 1 species